GACGAACGCUGGCGGCGUGCUUAACACAUGCAAGUCGAACGGAAAGGCCCUGCUUUUGUGGGGUGCUCGAGUGGCGAACGGGUGAGUAACACGUGAGUAACCUGCCCUUGACUUUGGGAUAACUUCAGGAAACUGGGGCUAAUACCGGAUAGGAGCUCCUGCUGCAUGGUGGGGGUUGGAAAGUUUCGGCGGUUGGGGAUGGACUCGCGGCUUAUCAGCUUGUUGGUGGGGUAGUGGCUUACCAGGGCUUUGACGGGUAGCCGGCCUGAGAGGGUGACCGGCCACAUUGGGACUGAGAUACGGCCCAGACUCCUACGGGAGGCAGCAGUGGGGAAUAUUGCACAAUGGGCGGAAGCCUGAUGCAGCAACGCCGCGUGCGGGAUGACGGCCUUAGGGUUGUAAACCGCUUUCGCCUGUGACGAAGCGUGAGUGACGGUAAUGGGUAAAGAAGCACCGGCUAACUACGUG
rnacentral:rRNA from 1 species